rnacentral:lncRNA from 1 species
AUAUAGUGAUUUGUUUACAUUUGAUUAUAUUGCAUUCUUUAAAAUGGGUAUAUACUUUGAUUUGGGAUGGGUCAGUGAGAAAAAGAGGGUGCUGAAACUAAAUCAUCCUAGUGAUGAUAGAGAGGGAUUUGAGGGAUUUGUUUGUCUGUUUAUGAUCAAUACUCUUCACUCGGGAGUAAUAGUACUUUGAAGGAAGCAAACAUCAGAUUGUCUGGCAAUAUAGUGAUUUGUUUACAUUUGAUUAUAUUGCAUUCUUUAAAAUGGGUAUAUACUUUGAUUUG